rnacentral:rRNA from 1 species
UCUAGCGUCCUUAUUAAAUUUAGAACUACUUAUUUGCUACCCCGAAUAUCCAGUUAAUAUUUACUUAGCCGCAAGGUCACUACUGUGCUAAUUUCACUUUUAAUUAUUGUACCUUUUGCAUAAUGGUUAUACAAGCAGCAUUUUCUUUGAAAACUUCCCGAAAUAAGAUGAGCUAAAGCUUCUCAUACCCUUGGGGUACACAUUCAUAGCGUAGCAUUGCUGUGAUAAAUAGGUGGCUUUAGGGGCGACACACCUGUCAAGUCUUAUAAUAUCUGGAAAUAAGCCAAAGACAUUCAGUGUCACUUAACUCAAUCCCAAGGUAUCGAGAUCUUGGGAGCAAAAUAUCUUAAGCUUAUAAUUUUAUGUCCUAGGAUAAUAACUUUAGUUAUAUAAGUUUAUUUAACAUAAAUAUUUACUUAUAUUUUGUUUACAGCUUAUAGAUAUUUUUAACCAACGACCAAUAUACUAUUCUGUGUAAAUAAGUAAUAUUGUAAUUAAAUUAAAUAAAGGAACUCGGCAAAUAUCGGUCCCCUCGACUGUUUAACAAAAACAUAGUUUAAAGAUGUAAAAUUUUAAAUUCAGCCUGCCCAAUGCUUUUAUAGUUAACGGCCGCGGUACUCUGACCGUGCUAAGGUAGCAUAAUCAGUUGUCUUUUAAAUGAAGACUAGAAUGAAUGGCUAAACGGGGGGGAACUGUCUCUAUUUAAGUUCAUUGAAAUUACUUUGGAGGUGAAAAAGCCUUUAAAACCAUAAAAGACGAGAAGACCCCGGGAGUUUUAUAAAUUUUGUUGGGGCGACAAGAGAGCAGGAUUAUAAACCUCUCCUUUUUAUUUUAAGCACAAGCCGACAUUAGUAAGCGAGAGAAAACUACCCCGGGGAUAACAGCAUAAUUUUUCAAAAAGCUUGUGACCUCGAUGUUGGACUAGGGAAUCCAUAAGCGAGCUGCCUAUGUGUUUUGUUCUGUUCGAACGGCGAACCCUACAUGAUCUGAGUUCAGACCGGCGUAAGCCAGGUCAGAUUCUAUCUUUCUAGCACUCUAUUUUAGUACGAAAGGACCAAUUAGAGGUUAU